UAUGUAUCUAGUAAUUGGAAUGAGUACAAUUUAAAUCCCUUAACAAGUAACAAUUAGAGGGCAAGUCUGGUGCCAGCAGCCGCGGUAAUUCCAGCUCUAAUAGCGUAUAUUAAUAUUGUUGCAGUUAAAAAGCUCGUAGUUGAAAUUUGGGACUUUAUUGUAUUGGUUUGUCUUUCGAUGAACUAUAUAAUGGGUUUCUUCCUACUAGAGUUCGAUUCUGUUCUUAACUGAAUGGAGUAGCUAUCUCUCGGGGUAGUCAGUUGGUUAUUAUGUCUCCACUAAUAAGCAGAGAGGAGUAAAAUCUUCAAAGUAAGUUAUGUGGAUCAAGGUAUAAUGAUUAAUUGGAGUUCUAGUUCAUUUACUUUGAGAAAAUUAGAGUGUUUAAAGCAGCCUCUUGGGGGCACUGAAUACAUUAGCAUGGG
rnacentral:rRNA from 1 species